rnacentral:misc_RNA from 1 species
UCAAACUUGGUCAUUUAGAGGAAGUAAAAGUCGUAACAAGGUUUCCGUAGGUGAACCUGCGGAAGGAUCAUUACAAAUCAUAAGGUUGUUGUGGGGAGGGGGAGGAGAGGGGGAAAGUGUUUCAAACGCACCCUUCUCAGCCGACCACCCAACCCACACGCCUCCAUUUACGCUUGUUGUGUUUGGCAGAGUAACAGUACCAUAUGAUAGACAACUUUUAACAAUGGAUCUCUUGGCUCCUGCAUCGAUGAAGAACGCAGC